GAAGGAGAAGAAGUGAGGCAGACGUGGCUGGAGACGUGGCUGGAGGUCGAAGAACCAGGGCGUGGGAGCAGUGACCUGCCGGGUUGCGGACUCGAGGUCUCAGCAGGCUCCCACCUGGGGCCCCACCAGCCGUCCUUGCACUUCGGGCCUGGCGUGGGUGAAACGUCGCCAGGACGUUUUUGCCAGGCGAAUCCAGGAUCUACGGCAGCGAGCGCCAGCCAGCGUUCGAGAAGGGCAUGGCAAACGCCUUGCGUGCUCCAGGUCAACGACCUCCGCAGUGAGCCGCGUUCUUGACCGCGCCUGUCAUCGGACGCACCGUUCUACCCCAGCGUCGGCCGUCCCCUCCCAGCGUCGAGUUUGCCGCCGGGACUUGACCACCGCUUUCCUCUCCGGUGAACUCUUUCUGUUUUUUGUAUUAAGCCCUUGUGACUCUUACUCCAGCAUUCCAAGCAUUUUAUAAUUGUUCUCUUACUUCAUUUAUUAUUAGACCUUUCUAGUCUUUUGUAAAUACAUUUUUU